AUGGGAACAAGACAGGAAAACCUCCCCUGGUUUAUUUGGAAUUGGUUUGAUGAAUCUCAAAUCCUUGAGGAGUCUGGAGCUCUUCCGGGCAGCAGGAGAUCAGCCAAUGGACCCCACUCCUGGGAGCGGGAAGCUGGCCAGUGCAAUUUGCAGCAUGGACUCUUUCUGCUGCCCCAGUGCUGCUUGCUACAAGCCCUUAGUCUACAGGGGUCCAUACUGGCAGUAGGAGAGAAGGUCUUCUCCACCAAUGGCAGUCUGCCACUUUUGAUGCCUUUCGGGAGGCAUGCCCCAAAGCAGGCGGCCACAUUGUUGUCGUGAGGAGUCCAGAGGAAAACGAGGCCGUUGCAAGCUUCGUGAAGAAGUACAACACGUAUGCCUAUGUGGGCCUGAUUGAAGGUCCAAGCCCUGGAGACUUCCGCUACUCAGAUGGGACCCUUGUAAACUACACCAACUGGUACCCAGGGGAGCCCGCGGGUCGGGGAACAGAGCAGUGUGUGGAGAUGUACACAGACGGGCGGUGGAAUGACAGGAACUGCCUGUACAACCGACUGACCAUCUGUGAGUUCUGAGAGGCAUUUAUGCCACAGGACAGGGAGGAUCCUGUCUGGCCUUCGGUUUCCAUCCCCAGUAUCCGCUUGGUCUGUGAGAUGCUGGAACUCCCUUUCAACAGAAUUCACUUGUGGCUAUUAGGGCUGACGGCAUCCUUAACCACUUCAUUCCCCUGAUGGGCCCUGACUCUUCCCCCAAAUCACUGGCCAGCCUUGACACUCCCCUUGCAAACCCUCCCAGCACUGCACCCCAGGCAGCCACUCCUAGCCCUGGCCUUCGGCAUGAGAUGGAGCCCUCCUUAUGCCCCAUCUGGUCCAGUUCCUUCACUUACAGAUGGCAGCAGUGAGGUCGUGGGGUAGAAGGACCCUCCGAAGUCACACAGAGUGCCUGCCUCCAGGUGCCCUAGCUCUCCCUCUGCAGCCCACUGCGUGCCCAGUGCCAUCAGGAUGAGCAGUCCUGGCCAAGCAUGAUGACAGAGAGAGGCAGACUUCAAAGAAGCCCUGACUGUGCAGAGGUAAGGCCGCAGUGGUGAUUCUCUGGCACUCUGAGG